rnacentral:rRNA from 1 species
GCCGUAGGGAAACCGAGUCUUAACCGGGCGUUAAGUUGCAGGGUAUAGACCCGAAACCCGGUGAUCUAGCCAUGGGCAGGUUGAAGGUUGGGUAACACUAACUGGAGGACCGAACCGACUAAUGUUGAAAAAUUAGCGGAUGACCUGUGGCUGGGGGUGAAAGGCCAAUCAAACCGGGAGAUAGCUGGUUCUCCCCGAAAGCUAUUUAGGUAGCGCCUCGUGAAUUCAUCUCCGGGGGUAGAGCACUGUUUCGGCUAGGGGGCCAUCCCGGCUUACCAACCCGAUGCAAACUGCGAAUACCGGAGAAUGUUAUCACGGGAGACACACGGCGGGUGCUAACGUCCGUCGUGAAGAGGGAAACAACCCAGACCGCCAGCUAAGGUCCCAAAGUCAUGGUUAAGUGGGAAACGAUGUGGGAAGGCCCAGACAGCCAGGAUGUUGGCUUAGAAGCAGCCAUCAUUUAAAGAAAGCGUAAUAGCUCACUGGUCGAGUCGGCCUGCGCGGAAGAUGUAACGGGGCUAAACCAUGCACCGAAGCUGCGGCAGCGACGUUUAUGCGUUGUUGGGUAGGGGAGCGUUCUGUAAGCCUGCGAAGGUGGCCUGUGAGGGUUGCUGGAGGUAUCAGAAGUGCGAAUGCUGACAUAAGUAACGAUAAAGCGGGUGAAAAGCCCGCUCGCCGGAAGACCAAGGGUUCCUGUCCAACGUUAAUCGGGGCAGGGUGAGUCGACCCCUAAGGCGAGGCCGAAAGGCGUAGUCGAUGGGAAACGGGUUAAUAUUCCCGUACUUGGUGUUACUGCGAAGGGGGGACGGAGAAGGCUAUGUUGGCCGGGCGACGGUUGUCCCGGUUUAAGCGUGUAGGCUGGUUUUCCAGGCAAAUCCGGAAAAUCAAGGCUGAGGCGUGACGACGAGGCACUACGGUGCUGAAGCAACAAAUGCCCUGCUUCCAGGAAAAGCCUCUAAGCAUCAGGUAACAUCAAAUCGUACCCCAAACCGACACAGGUGGUCAGGUAGAGAAUACCAAGGCGCUUGAGAGAACUCGGGUGAAGGAACUAGGCAAAAUGGUGCCGUAACUUCGGGAGAAGGCACGCUGACACGUAGGUGAAGUGAUUUACUCAUGGAGCUGAAGUCAGUCGAAGAUACCAGCUGGCUGCAACUGUUUAUUAAAAACACAGCACUGUGCAAACACGAAAGUGGACGUAUACGGUGUGACGCCUGCCCGGUGCCGGAAGGUUAAUUGAUGGGGUCAGCGCAAGCGAAGCUCCUGAUCGAAGCCCCGGUAAACGGCGGCCGUAACUAUAACGGUCCUAAGGUAGCGAAAUUCCUUGUCGGGUAAGUUCCGACCUGCACGAAUGGCGUAAUGAUGGCCAGGCUGUCUCCACCCGAGACUCAGUGAAAUUGAACUCGCUGUGAAGAUGCAGUGUACCCGCGGCAAGACGGAAAGACCCCGUGAACCUUUACUAUAGCUUGACACUGAACAUUGAGCCUUGAUGUGUAG